rnacentral:rRNA from 1 species
CCUACGGGGGGCUGCAGUGGGGAAUAUUGGACAAUGGGCGAAAGCCUGAUCCAGCCAUGCCGCGUGUGUGAAGAAGGCCUUCGGGUUGUAAAGCACUUUCAGUGGGGAAGAAAGCCUUGGGGCUAAUACCCUCGAGGAAGGACAUCACCCACAGAAGAAGCACCGGCUAACUCCGUGCCAGCAGCCGCGGUAAUACGGAGGGUGCGAGCGUUAAUCGGAAUUACUGGGCGUAAAGCGCGCGUAGGCGGUCUGAUAAGCCGGUUGUGAAAGCCCCGGGCUCAACCUGGGAACGGCAUCCGGAACUGUCAGGCUAGAGUGCAGGAGAGGAAGGUAGAAUUCCCGGUGUAGCGGUGAAAUGUGUAGAGAUCGGGAGGAAUACCAGUGGCGAAGGCGGCCUUCUGGACUGACACUGACGCUGAGGUGCGAAAGCGUGGGUAGCAAACAGGAUUAGAUACCCUGGUAGUC